UGGGGAAUUUUGGACAAUGGGCGAAAGCCUGAUCCAGCAAUGCCGCGUGUGUGAAGAAGGCCUUCGGGUUGUAAAGCACUUUUGUCCGGAAAGAAAUCCUUGGCUCUAAUACAGUCGGGGGAUGACGGUACCGGAAGAAUAAGCACCGGCUAACUACGUGCCAGCAGCCGCGGUAAUACGUAGGGUGCAAGCGUUAAUCGGAAUUACUGGGCGUAAAGCGUGCGCAGGCGGUUUGCUAAGACCGAUGUGAAAUCCCCGGGCUCAACCUGGGAACUGCAUUGGUGACUGGCAGGCUAGAGUAUGGCAGAGGGGGGUUAGAAUUCCACGUGUAGCAGUGAAAUGCGUAGAGAUGUGGAGAAUACCGAUGGCGAAGGCAGCCCCCUGGGCCAAUACUGACGCUCAUGCACGAAAGCGUGGGGAGCAAACAGGAUUAGAUACCCUGGUAGUCCACGCCCUAAACGAUGUCAACUAGUUGUUGGGGAUUCAUUUCCUUAGUAACGUAGCUAACGCGUGAAGUUGACCGCCUGGGGAGUACGUCGCAAGAUUAAAACUCAAAGAAUUG
rnacentral:rRNA from 1 species